rnacentral:pre_miRNA from 1 species
CUGUUGUGAAUUUGUAUGGAGUUGAAAGAGCUACCUUUUGUUUGCCGCUAGGGGCGUUGUUCUAACUCCAUACAAAUUUGAGUUA